rnacentral:rRNA from 1 species
AACGCUAGCUACAGGCUUAACACAUGCAAGUCGAGGGGCAGCAUUAGGUAGCAAUACUGAGAUGGCGACCGGCGCACGGGUGCGUAACGCGUAUCCAACCUUCCCGUUACUCUCGGAUAGCCUUCCGAAAGGGAGAUUAAUACGAGAUGGUGUUUGAAUUCCGCAUGUUAUUCAAACUAAAGAUUCAUCGGUAACGGAUGGGGAUGCGUGACAUUAGGUAGAUGGCGGGGUAACGGCCCACCAUGCCUACGAUGUCUAGGGGUUCUGAGAGGAAGGUCCCCCACACUGGAACUGAGACACGGUCCAGACUCCUACGGGAGGCAGCAGUGAGGAAUAUUGGUCAAUGGUCGGAAGACUGAACCAGCCAAGUAGCGUGAAGGAUGAAGGUUCUAUGGAUUGUAAACUUCUUUUAUACGGGAAUAAAACCACCUACGUGUAGGUGCUUGUAUGUACCGUAUGAAUAAGCAUCGGCUAACUCCGUGCCAGCAGCCGCGGUAAUACGGAGGAUGCGAGCGUUAUCCGGAUUUAUUGGGUUUAAAGGGAGCGUAGACGGGAGAUUAAGUCAGUUGUGAAAGGCUGCGGCUCAACCGCAGCACUGCAGUUGAUACUGGUUUCCUUUGAGUGCCGGUUGAGGUAUGUGGAAUUCGCGGUGUAGCGGGGAAAUGCUUAGAUAUCACGAAGAACUCCGAUUG